AUCACAACGCAUCGUGAAAAUUCUCAACACACUCGAAAGGAAGAUGAAAAUUGGAAGAGUUCGUUGGAUUUUGUUCGAAAUGCGACAAACAAAUCUUUCUUUUGGUCAGCCCAUUUUGGUCUUAUCGAACUGGA
rnacentral:antisense_RNA from 1 species